CGGUAUUUACUAUGCAUGCUGUAGGAUUUUCCAAUCAAAUAAAUAAAUAUGCAUGCUGUAAUCGCUUAUAAUUUUGCUUUCAUAACUUUAAUAACUGUGAAUUUUUAGCAACAAGAUAAAAUGUCAUUUUGCUGACUAGAACUAUUAAAUAGUAAAAGAUUUUAAAAUACUUAGUACUAGUAGAUUUCGAAGAAAACCAAGAUUACUGGCUCUGCCCCUUCACCCCACCAUCCCCAUCUUCUAACCUUUAUAAAUCAAGUAUGUUUUCUCCACCCAAGAAAUCAACUGGAUUAAUUCUAGAUGAAGCAUUGGCGUCCUAAUUAAUAGGCCUAUUUAAAUAAGUUGGAUUACAUGACUAGUGACUGCUCCUCUUAGGCUAAUAAAGAGAUGUCAACAAAACACAAUUGAGUUUCACAUGAAGAUCAUAUUAAGAGAUUGAUUGGAGAUGAAACAGUGGCAAAGACGCAGAACCCUACAGAACAGUGAUUCUCAGAUUUAAUGUGCGUACAAAUCAGCUGGUGAGCUGGUUAAAACACAGAUUCUGAUUCAGCCACUCUUGGGGCGGGGCCUGAGAUUUCCCAUUUCUAACAAGCUUUCAGGAGAUGCCAAUGCUGUUUGGUGUGAGGGACCACGUUUUGAAGGGCAAGCUUAUAGACCGUCAUUAAAUCAGUUUACUAUUCGUAUAAGUACUUUGGCUUGGCACAUAGUUCUGUGUCCAGGCUGAGCUGCCUCCUUCUGUUGUUCCCAAGGAAACUGCAGCAAUGCACUGAGAUGCACAAUAUACCUUCUGGAUUAAAAUGUACCAAUUUCCCUUCUUUCUCUUUUAUUCCCCUGCCAGAACUGCCCUGCACUGCAGCUAUUGACUUUAGGAAGAAUGAAUGGACCAAUUUUACUCUGAAAUAUAUUGCUGGGUGAUGGUGACAGUGGAAUGUGUGGACCAAAGAUGCCCUGACAUAGUCAAAAAGGGUGACUUCCUUGGGGGAUGACUGAUUUCCUAUCAAGAGUAGACCAGGAAUGACUGGAGAUGAUGAACUUACACAAAAUCCAGAAGAACCAGAGGGCCCCAGAAAAUUAAUGUUUAAAAAUCUGAUAUAAGAGAUGCGUAACUCUUCCUUAACAUAGCAAAUCCUGAGAAACUAAGAAAAUCAUUCAAAGAUUCCAUUUCAAACAUUCUUAUGAAUGCUUUAAGAUAUUUUUCUGUUUAAUUUUUAUUAUGUUUGGCUGAGUGAUGUUUUCUUAUAAAUAAAUCAACAAAGCCAAACAGUAAUACAUAAAGGCUUACUGACAAGAUUCUGCCAAAAACAGAGAUUUCCAUAUUUUGAAAGAAAUCGGUUUUCAAUCUGUGAUGUGUUCCCUGUAACUCAUUUCCUUUUCCUCCUAGGCACAUGACUCUCUUUCUUACCCUCCACUGUUAAUUGUGGCCAUGUGACUGAGUUCUAGAUAAUGGAAUGUGGGAAGAAAUGUGUUCCUUCUCUAAGAUUGUCAUAAAAAACUCUCCCACAAGUCUACAUAUGCUCUGUCCCCUCUUGUGACUGACGGGAGAAGACAAGAGCACCGAGAGAAGAGAGGAGCCAAAAAUGGAAAGAGCCUUGGUCUGUGAAUGACCAGAGAGAAGGUGAUGUGAAAAGGAAAGUCAACAUAGGACAGGAAAGUUAGAGAAAACGGCACCUCUGCUGUUUGGAGGCAUCAUACGUUUUGGAUUGGUUUGUAAUGCAGUAAGCCUAUGCUAAACCACGCAGGUGGAAAAUGGGAAAUUAGUUUUGACGUCCUCUCUCUCCGUUGAGGAGAGGGCUGGGUCUUCACCUUUGAAUAUCUGGCAGAUGGCUUUGUAUUAUUAGGUGCUGCAUAAACAUUUGCUGAAAGGUGUUGAUCUACUCUCCAGAUCCUGCUUCUUUUCCUGAGCCAGCGACCCAGAGGAUGACGUUCCAAGAGCCCAUGUCCUCCUCAGACCUGUAUCCAGAAGCAAUUGGGGCUAUUUCAUUUCAAAAAACUCUUUUCAAGUAUACUUUGCCUAUACCUGAUGCAAAGGAACUUUGGCAUGAACGAAUUCACCCGUCAAUAUUUCUUUUUUGAGCGAUUUUCUUCUGUUGCAAUUUAAAAGAGACUUUUUUGAGAAGUAAGAAAAGGCUAACAUCACUUAUUUGGGGAUAAUGUCUGUUUACUGGCUAGGAAGCAGGAGAAAAGGAUUCUUUGUAUUGUAAAACAUAUAGUUUAGUUUUUAUCUCCAAGGAAUUUGAACUUUCUUGGAAUAGAGGGGAAAUUACUUUCUAUGAUUCUUUCUAGAAUCUUCUCUUCAUACUAAAGACAUCAUGAUAACCUGCUGUUUCUUGGGGGACUACUGUCUGAGCUGAGUGGAUUAUCUAUAGCAGGUCUUCUUCCUUGAAGACAUUCUUUUACACAUCAAAGUGGUGAUAUUCUCAGUUUUCAAAAAAUAUUUGUUCCUAAUUAAUUGUAUUAGGUACCUCGGUAGAUGGUACAUAAAUAUUCAAACAGAAAUGGCUCCUGCUUUUUGUAAACCGUUCUCCACACAGGCAGAAGCCACUAAGGUGGACUUAGAAAUAACACAGUAAAACCACACAAGUGUCAAACGUAGAAUAGAUGGCAACAUUUAAAAGGAAAAAAACCUCUAGUGUGGGAGGAUGGAAGCACACAGAGAGCAUUUCAAAGAAGAAAGGAUAUACACCUUCUUUAGCCCUAUGAUUGCUCUCUAAGGAUUCUUAAGCCAGAUGCUUCUUUGGCUCUGUAAAACCUGUGUCAUCAUUACUGUCAGGGUACGUGAGAUAUUAGCAGGAUGGCUGCCUUUACGGAACAGAGUACAUGGCAACUCCAUCCUUCCAGUUGAUCAGCCCGAUAACCUUGGAGUCACCCUCAUGUUCUUUCAUCCUCUCAUGCCCCAUACCCAAUCUUUCAGGAAAUCCCGACGCUCUACGUUUAAAACAUGCUGAUCACCCAUCCACUCCUCCCACCUUCACAGCUGCUGUCGUAGACCAAGCCGCCGUCAGCUCUUGUCUGAUGGCUGUUGUGUCUGCCCAGCUGGACUCCCUGCUCCAGCACAUGCUCCUCUUUACACUUUACUUUCCUUACGGCAGCCAGCAUAAUCCUUUCAGAUUCGUGUGUCGCUCCUCAAAUAAAUUUGGCAAUGGCUUCCCAAUUUA